rnacentral:misc_RNA from 1 species
UGGCUCUCGCAUCGAUGAAGAACGCAGCGAAAUGCGAUAAGUAAUGUGAAUUGCAGAAUUCAGUGAAUCAUCGAAUCUUUGAACGCAUCUUGCGCUUCUUGGUAUUCCGAGAAGCAUGUCUGUUUGAGUGUCGUCAACUUCUCAAUCAUGCUAGCUUGAACUUUCAAGCUGGUUUGAAUUGGAUCAUGGGCGGUUGCAGGAUUUUUUGGAUUCUGCUCGUCUGAAAUACAUUAGCAUAGGUUUUUAUCUUCAAUCGCUUAUCAUUGGUAUGAUAACUGUUUAUACUGCCGUUGAUGCGUUUUGAACUGUGCUUCGAGUGGUUUGUCUGACAAACAGUUAUAUAUGAAAAAUUUGACCUCAAAUCAGAUAGGAUUACCCGCUGA